rnacentral:lncRNA from 1 species
GACUUGGGUAAAGUUGUUACAUUGACUGCGUGAAGUAACUCAUAGUCUUGUGUUGGCUAUUCUUCAUCCCACGUUAUGGUGGAUACUCAUGCCCACGUUAUGGUGGUGCAUUAGUGCUGUAGACGCACACUAACAUUAACUUUUCAUUCAAGUGUAUGACUUGUAUUUCUCAUGGUAUGAUGAGACAAUCGUAUCCAAGCCUGCGUUAUGGUGGGGCAGUAGUGCUAUAACUGCACGUGAACUUCUUUCAAGUGUUUGACUUGUACUAGUAUAUCUGUUUAGAAACAUUUAUUUGAUGUAUUUAUUGUAUGUUUGGUACAUGUGAAUGCUUCAGCGAAUAAUAUUUGCAUGUUUGGAUUGUUUGCACAUGUAUUUAGGUUGGUGAGUAGUUGUUGGGAGCAUUGAGAUUGAUUACAUGAAGUAGUUUUGUUCAUAAUAAACUUGAUUUAUUUUGUUUACAAUUUCGUCUUUUCGUUCGGGGUCUAUACCAGUGCUACCCUUGGUCACUAUCUGUUGCAGAAAGAUACUUACCUGUGUGGCACAGCUCGUACCAACAGGAAGGGCUACCCCGCCGUUCAUCUCCCUUCAGGUAAGCCAGCAAAUCGUCUGCAGAGAGGGACAAUCGACUGGCGAGCUUGUGGGGACUUCGUUGCAACCAUGUGGAAUGACAACAAGCCUGUUUUCUAUCUCAGCACGGCACGGGCACUCUCCCGAGGAAGAUGGUUUGACCACCAAAAGGAGGAAGAAGGACGGGUCGCAGGAAAUCCUUCCCAGCGCACCAUGUGUGAAGGAUUAUGGAAAGUAUAUGGGAGGGGUUGAUAGGUUAGACCAAAACACUCGCCAAUAAGAGCAAAAAAACCAUGAGGUGGUAUAGGCGUGUUGAGGUGAAGUUGAGAGAAAUAGCCAUUUACAAUGCCUAAUGUCAUUGAAGGUACCUUAAUCAACCACAUGCCUGGUGGGAAAAGAAAGCGAGACAUGCUGGCCUUCAAGCUUGGACUGCUGCAUCAACUCAUUGGAGGGUACCGUCAACACAGGAGGCUAGGUCGUUCCAGAUCAGUCAUCGUUGGAGCAGGAACGCUUGGAUGGGAACGGUCACUGGCCAGUGCCGUCAGGUAAAAACGGCAUCAUCAAAGGAGAUAAUCCACCUUCAUCACACCUGCCAAUCAAGCUUCUUCAGCUACCUGUGCCAUCUAGUGAUGGAAAACAUUUUAUUUGCACUGUCUAUGUAUGAUAUUUGACAAUAAAGUAAUGUUGCCCUUUUGUCAACUUUUGUCUUUUUUUUCACUUGGUCCUGCUAACCAUGGCAAAUGAAAUGAUCUUUCAGGCGAGUUGCUGCUGCAUAAUAUUGCCUCUUUAUUAUUCUAGAUUCCAAUAUAAUAUUCCUUUGUAUGAAAAGCAUUAAUAUUUCAACUAUUCAACUUGAAGGAAAAACUCAGUAAAUACCCUGUGAUACAAUUUCAGGUGAAGAAAAGGGUCAUUUCAAAAGGGAGGUAAUCCACCGUCACCACACCUGCCAAUUAAGCUUCUUUUUUUUUUUUUAUACCUGUGACAUUUAGUGAUGGCAAAAUAUAUAAAGCCUAUGUACUUUGCAUAUUAUAUGAUAAUACAAUAAUAUAUUUCAGCCUAAAGUGAUUUUGUGCAUUUUUACUUUCCUGGACUAACGAGUUUACUUGAGCUAACGAGUAUACCUCUUGUAGAUGCAGCAACACCCCUUAAAAAUGUUGUGUUGAUGUUCCAUUGUAAAAUAUAAUGUCAACACGCAAAUAACUUUUAUAUGACAUACAAAUAUAUUUCAGUAUUUCAGUGAAGCAAUUCUGCACCUGGAUGAUUCACACCUGUACAACACCUGGAUGACCUGCUUUUCUACGGAUUGCCAAAGAUCAGAAGACACUAUUUAUUGCCUGUUAUCGCAUUUUUUGUGACAUAUAUAUAUGUAUAUUUCUUCA